UCUGCUUCUCUUUUUUGUAGAUCCAUAGGCUUAUGAGUAGUAAAAGCUAAGGUGAAGGUCAAGAUUUAGGUGAAAGCCAGGGUCGAAAUAAAAGGUAAGACUAAUGCUGAGGGGAGGAGUUCGAAGGCUGAGCUCUCAAAUGCUAAACUCCCAAAGGUUGAGCUCCAAAGAGCUGAACUUCCGAGGGUCGAGCUUCUGAAGGUCAAGUUCCCAAAGGCCGAACUCUAAAGGGCUGAACUCUUGAAGGUUGAGCUCCUAAAGAUCGAUCUUAAGACCAAUUCAAGAAAGC
rnacentral:lncRNA from 1 species